rnacentral:rRNA from 1 species
GAUGAACGCUGGCGGCGUGCCUAAUACAUGCAAGUCGAGCGAACAGACGAGGAGCUUGCUCCUCUGACGUUAGCGGCGGACGGGUGAGUAACACGUGGAUAACCUACCUAUAAGACUGGGAUAACUUCGGGAAACCGGAGCUAAUACCGGAUAAUAUAUUGAACCGCACGGUUCAAUAGUGAAAGACGGUUUUGCUGUCACUUAUAGAUGGAUCCGCGCUGCAUUAGCUAGUUGGUAAGGUAACGGCUUACCAAGGCAACGAUGCGUAGCCGACCUGAGAGGGUGAUCGGCCACACUGGAACUGAGACACGGUCCAGACUCCUACGGGAGGCAGCAGUAGGGAAUCUUCCGCAAUGGGCGAAAGCCUGACGGAGCAACGCCGCGUGAGUGAUGAAGGUCUUCGGAUCGUAAAACUCUGUUAUUAGGGAAGAACAAAUGUGUAAGUAACUAUGCACGUCUUGACGGUACCUAAUCAGAAAGCCACGGCUAACUACGUG